CCAUCUUGGCGUUUGUGUCACUUCAUCUGAAUGACAAGAAUGCAGUUCUGUCGGUGCAGCAAACCGGUAUAUGCAUGAUGUUAAUAAGAGACACUUCUUAGCAUAACUUCAUUCUAAGGCGGAGAACCGACUCCUCGCAAUUCGUAGUUUGUAGUUUUCUGUCUUUAAUACUACUACUACUACUAAUAGGCAAUUAAUUUCGGGUGAUGGCGAAAGGACUGAAGCAAAUUCGUAGGGUCAUGAGCAGCACGGUCAAGUACAAUUUGACGGUGGAGAUCGCGGAUGAGGAGCAGACCUCGGUGCCAGUCUCGGUACGGGCCUCGGACACGGUGCGCGAUCUCCGGAUCAAGUUGGUGAGAAAGGGCAUCACGUCCUGGAAACACACGUUCACGUACAAAGGAAGGCAGCUGGGCGAAAACGAGGUCUUUAAACACACCGGGAUUCGAAACGGAGCGCAACUUGUUCUAAGGAAAGAUGAAGACAUCGAGGAUAGCCAUAAGUAACAGAACCUCCACAAAAGGUGAAAAGAUUUGGGUGCUGCCAAGGAGUCCUAAAGAGAAAGGAGCGAACAAAAUGGUAUUCGGUUUCACUCAGGCAAGAAGUGGACAGCUAUAGAAGUCACACUACGGGGUCCUGGAAUCCAAACAGGCCUGUGCUACAAUUCUGUUCGGUAGCAGGGAUGAUUGAGUCACAUGUCAGCCCAGUGACGUCUUCCAGUGGUUGACAGGAUGCCUACCAGAGACCAGGAUGGAGGACCUCUCCCAAGCCACGGUCGUGGAGACGAGGUGAGAUGUGGAGGCUGUUUCGUGUCCACCUGAGGCACAGUCAGAGGUUUCCAGAGGUGAUCAUUAUAAUGGUACUGACUGGGACCCGUCCACCUGUACACUAGGAACUCAGACCACCUCUCACUGCUCUCCGAACAGCAAACUCAUGGGAGAUGAGUUGUGAUUGCUUUGGGUUGGAAUAGUGUAGCCCCUGUAACUCUGUGAUGUUUACAACAUAGGCAAACACCCAAUGUGGGUCUUACACAGGGGCUGGACAGAAUAAUAGAAACUGAGAAGAACAAGAGUUUUUCAGGUUCAGAAUUUAAAUGAAUGGUUGAACAUUCUUUUAUUUUGAAUAUUGAAGUAUUGUGCCAUAUUAAAAUACUAAUAACACAAUCUAAGGAGUAAAAAUAAGCCCAAUACAGAAUGAGACCACACUCGUUUGUACAGAAUAAUGGGUGUUAUUUAUUUCAGACUUCAUUUAAUCAAUUUUUGGGGGAUAAAUUCUGAAUAUGAACAUUUUUGCCACCAAAUACCUUUCCAGUUAAAUAUUCAAUUAUUUCACCCUGCACAAUCUAUAACACACUUUAAAAUAAAUAUGCAUCUAAUGAGGAAAAUGAAAUGCCAGUAAUAUAUAAAAUCUUCAAAUCGUCAUGCUGCAAAUACAUCCCAGUGGUAUGAAGCCUGAGUAUUGAUUCCAUCCUCAUUGUGUUGCCAUUGCUGGUAAUUCAACAUUUCUUCUGGGAAAUGAUUAUAAUGGUGUUCCAACAAGAACAGAGCAGUGUUUUUUUAAGCUCUGGGUGCAAUUCACACAAAGUGCCACCAGAUGGCAGUGUAAACUCUGCGGAGGGACUUUGAAUCGCCAGCACAAGCAAUCAGGCAGGGUAAGCUCUGAACAGACUAGACAAAACAGGGCGCUCCAGCUGCUGCAAGUUUAAUGAGCUGAGAAAUAAACGCUGGUUGUAAAGAGCUGGUUCUGCGUUACUUAACAAUGUCUUUAUCUCCUAUUAAUCUGGAGCUGCUAAUGUGUUCACCGGCCUGCGCAGUUAACAUGGGUUCUGUUAGGUCUCAUUUACACCCGAGUCAUGAACGGGAGGGUAGUUCCUGACAUGUUUACCCACAGCGGGCCUGUUUUGUUUUCUUUCAUUCUUACUUGAAAGUACCUAUUAUUUCACUGUCUGUGCAAUGUGAUGCUCGCAGUGGCACACUUUUGUUCUCUACCUGGUUCCUCUGUGCCCCUUAAAUCAAUCAAAAUGUGACACUUAACAAAGCAAUGCCCUAAAUUCCACCUGCUUUGCACUUCUGUUCUGUAGGUCUCAGGUGUGCGAGGGUGCUAGCAUUUUACCAGACUGACCAGCUGUUUCCUGUAAAAACUGCUUGCUCUUCAUACCUUUGUGUAAUGUGCUUCACUUUUCUCUGCAUAGGUUGUGAUUUGAUACCCCUAAAUCAUACCCUUUCGGGCACCCGUAUUCAUUUAUUUUUAAAUGAAAGUAUUUGAUCCAUUUUGUAACAACUGGUAGUCCUGAAGUGAAGUGACCGUUACCGUCGGAGAACUGCUGGUGCCAUGGCAACAAAAACAGUGCUCAUGCUAAAAACUGGAUUCAA